AUGUUAUGGAGCGCUGCAUUCAUCUGCUGUCUGAUCCCAGCCUCAGGCUCCGACUCAAGGUACUGGACGUGCUGGAGUUGUGCGUUCAGGUGCUGAGUGAGAGGGAAAAUGAACUGCUGCCUAUGGCUCAUCGCUGCUGGCCAGCACUCCUGCAGACACUCACAGCCGAUGACCCAUUAGCAGUCCUCAGAGCCUUCAGGCUGAAGCAGACCUAGAUGCUGUUUGUGAGCCUGUCUACCUACCUGAGAUCCAGACAACCCAUCAGACUGCAAGAAGCCUGUUUAAGUGUGUUCCGACACUUAAUCCAGGUGGGUCCGGACACCUUCUGGUUUACUCUCAAUGAGCUGCACUGCCCGUCCUCUUACAUCCCACACCACCCCGAC